GAUGAACGCUGGCGGCGUGCUUAAUACAUGCAAGUCGAGCGAACGGACCAGAAGCUUGCUUCUCUGAUGUUAGCGGCGGACGGGUGAAUAACACGUGGAUAACCUCCCUAUAAGACUGGGAUAACUUCGGGAAACCGUAUCUAAUACCGGAUGAUCUUUUGAACCGCAUUGUUCAAAAGUGAAAGACGGUCUUGCUGUCACUUAUCGCUGCAUCCGCGCUGCAUUAGCUAGUUGGUAAGGUAACGGCUUACCAAGGCAACGAUGCAUAGCCGACCUGAGAGGGUGAUCGGCCACACUGGAACUGAGACACGGUCCAGACUCCUACGGGAGGCAGCAGUAGGGAAUCUUCCGCAAUGGGCGAAAGCCUGACGGAGCAACGCCGCGUGAGUGAUGAAGGUCUUCGGAUCGUAAAACUCUGUUAUUAGGGAAGAACAUAUGUGUAAGUAACUGUGCACAUCUUGACGGUACCUAAUCAGAAAGCCACGGCUAACUACGUG
rnacentral:rRNA from 1 species